rnacentral:rRNA from 1 species
AUUGAACGCUGGCGGCAGGCCUAACACAUGCAAGUCGGGCGAGUGGCGGACGGGUGAGUAAUAUCUGAGAAACUGCCCGAUGGCGGGGGAUCAAUACUGAAAAAAGUAGCUAAUACCGCAUAAAAUCAGAUAUGCACAGAUGGGAUUAUCUAGGAGGUGGGGUAAAGGCUCACAUAGGCGACCAUCCCUAGCUGUUCUGCGAGGAUGAACCGCCACACUUGAACUGAGACACGGCCCAGACUCCUACGGGAGGCAGCAGUGGGGAAUAUUUCACAAUGGGCGCAAUCCGUAUGCAGCCAUGCCGCGUGUAUGAAGAAGGCCUUCGGGUUGUAAAGUACUGUCAGCGAGGAGGCGUUACUCGCAGAAGAAGCACCGGCUAACUCCGUGCCAGCAGCCGCGGUAAUAC